AAACAACUCUCAGCAACGGAUAUCUUGGCUCUUGCAACGAUG
rnacentral:rRNA from 1 species